GGGCGAUUAGCUCAGAUUGGCAAGAGCGCCUCCCUUACAAGGAGGAGGUCACCUGUUCAACUCAGGUAUCGCCCA
rnacentral:tRNA from 1 species